GUUUCGUAGGAAGGAAAUGACGUACUGGUAUGCGCCAGGCGCCGGAUGCAGGCAGUUGAAAGUGAUUUUUACAUUCCUGUUUGCUGGCAGAGUGAAUAGAACCAAUUAACCUGACAGUGGAAGAACAAAACUCAUGUAACUGAGACAAGAAAGUGACUACAAUCUAUAGAUAUAUGUGGCCAUUCGUCUUACGGCUUAUGAAGAGAAAAGUAUUGAACAUAGAGCCCAUGUUUGUUUACUCUCAUUUUUGCUGUGACUUGUAAAGUGCCCUGAGUUAAGUCACUUUCCUUUUUUCUGUCCCAGCUAAAAAAAAAUGAUAGCAUAUUUCUUGUAUCCUUAUAAGACAAACAAGUUGAUGUGAAUAUAAUAGCUGCUUCUAACAGUUUGUGAGCCCGGGUUAAAUGGUGGUGGGCUUUUUUUGGUUGUAACUGACGCUCUGUCUUGUCUUACUCCAUUUUUCUUUUGCAUUGCUCUCAGAUCUCUAUUUUAUGACCAAAGGAAGACAUGACAACUUGCUUGACUGACAGCUGCCAGAAUCAUUAUUUUAAGCCCCAAUUCUCAUCAGCCCAAGGAGAGAAAAUUUGUACACAUGCUUAGAUCCACCACGAAGAGAAGACUAUGGCAUUGACACUAGGGAAAUGGUUCUCUCUGAACUUAGACCAGCUCAAACUAGGAAAGAUAGAACCUGCAGAAAGAUUUGGCUCACCCAGCUGAACAGGGGGAAGAAAAGUGGGCUAUGAGUCUCAGUGAAGAAAGAGAUGACUAAGAAGAUACCAACCAUGAGAUCACAGUGUGCGCUGGGGACAGAGACCAACCUCUGCUUUUCCAGACUACUCAAAGUCACCUCCUCCAAAAAAAUAGUGGCUGGCCUCUGCUGUUGUUUCAUUUGGGCCAAGCUGCAAAUCACACAAAAGAAAUCAGGCUCUGGAAGCAGCCCUUUGGAUUCCUGAUGCAACACACGUGACCUAAGGCGAGUGCGUUUUUAUCCUCCUGGUGUCCUUGCCACGCACAUCCCUAUCACAGGCACACCUGCAGGCACACACACGCAAUCAC